rnacentral:lncRNA from 1 species
AGACAAAUGCUUUGUUUACUUUAAACAAAGCUUAAGCAAUACAAGAUGACUCCUGCUCUUCUCGGAAGAACCUCUUACUGAGAUGGAAGAAUACGGCAAACGUGAGGGGAAUGUCUUUCUCAUCAACACGUUACCUUAUCCAAGACUCUGUUGCUACUCAACUCCCUCUACAGUCUCUCUCUCCUUUGCUGUGUUUGAAGAAGCAAGCUACCACGGAUUCUGCAGCCACAAGUAAAUUAAUUCUGCCAAAAACCUGAGGGAGUUGGAAAAGGACCUCAAGCCUCAAGUGACCGGCCACACCUUGAUGGCAGUCUUAUGGGACCCUAAGCAGAGAACCCCACUAAGCCAUGCCCCGACUUCUGGCCUACAGAACCUCUCCCAGGUGCCUCAGCCUCCUUGAACUCCAAUCUCUGUGUCAUCAGUUCACCAAGAGCACCAUUCUGCCCUCCAUGUUUCACAGUAUGGAAUGUGCCUCCAGGCAGAAUUCCAGGUAAUCACGG